rnacentral:misc_RNA from 1 species
AAUUCUGCUACUACAACAAUUAUAACCUUUCUCAGCCACGCCACUAUUGCAAAAGCUGUAGAAGGUAUUGGACUAAAGGCGGUACUCUUCGUAACAUACCUGUUGGUGGAGGUUCUCGUAAAAGCACAAAACGAUCUUCAUCUUCAUCAUCAUCGAGUAAGAAAAGUUCAUCAACUUCAACUACAUCCCCUGCAACUCCUCCAUUAACAUCAUCUUCUUCAUCCACAAAUCCAAAACCAGAGCCAUUCGGUAUACCUGCAAUUCCAUCUUUUGAUGUGAUGACUACUAGUACUGGUCCAUUCAGCUCACUGUUAGCGUCAACCGAGCCGCAAUUUGGGAAUUUUCUCGAAGCUUUGAAUCCGAAUAAUAAUAAUGGGUCCACUUUACAGUUGGGUAACCCAGUUUCGAGUUCGGGCCAUCAAAAUGGGAAUACUUCAUAUUUGGGUGUUCAAAAUGGUGGAGAAUCUAAUAAUUGUUGGAAUGGUGG